rnacentral:rRNA from 1 species
UGGGGAAUAUUCCGCAAUGGACGAAAGUCUGACGGAGCAACGCCGCGUGAGUGAUGAAGGUUUUCGGACUGUAAAGCUCUGUUGUUUAGGACGAAAGUGCCUGUUGCGAACAGUUACAGGUAUUGACGGUACUGAACGAGGAAGCCACGGCUAACUACGUGCCAGCAGCCGCGGUAAUACGUAGGUGGCAAGCGUUGUCCGGAAUUAUUGGGCGUAAAGAGCAUGUAGGCGGGAAUCUAAGUCUGUUGUGAAAAUGCGGGGCUCAACCCCGUAUGGCGAUGGAAACUGGAUUUCUUGAGUGCAGGAGAGGAAAGGGGAAUUCCCAGUGUAGCGGUGAAAUGCGUAGAUAUUGGGAGGAACACCAGUGGCGAAGGCGCCUUUCUGGACUGUGUCUGACGCUGAGAUGCGAAAGCCAGGGUAGCGAACGG